rnacentral:lncRNA from 1 species
AUGAAAGUAAUUAAUUUUACUUUAAACUCAAUAAUCCUAUUAUCUAUCAUCAUGCUAGUAUCACCUCUACUGUAUAACAUACUAAUACCCCACAAAACAACUUAUUUUCCAACCUAUUGUAAAAACAAAAAACAAAAAAAAACAAAAAAACGCGAUUUGUAUGCUAUGUCAGUAUUGAAUUUUUUAAUAUUUUAAGAUUUUUUUGUUUUAUGUAUAUAUUACAUGGAUUUAUUUACCCCUAGCAUAUAUCUAUGUACAAGCUACUUAUACAUUACUAAAUACAUAAAAUUAUUAAUCGUACAAUGAUUUGUACAGUAUACGGAUAUUCUUAACCUAAUAUAUAUCAUAAUCUUACAUAAGACAUAUUAUGAAGACAGGGCAUAGACAUUGUAUGCAUGGUUCCACAGACUAACUAACCUACCAUUUCUAGCAUAUCAUCACCAACGAUAGUACCUCAGUCCUCCCCUCACGAGAAACCACCAUCCCGCCAUCUGAAGGUAAAACGUCCUUCAGAGGAGAUGCAUGUAUUGUGUCGGACCUAAGUUCCUUUCUAAUGGGCCACUGGUUGCUACUUCAGGGUCAUAAUACUGUUCAUUGCAUCCAAACUGCUUUUUAAGAGGCAUUGCUGAUGUUUCGUUUACUGUUUGCCUCAUAAUCGCGGCAUCAGUUGAACUCAACAGGCAUGGGGUGGAUUUUUUUUUGGGGGAGCCGUGUCCUCCGGGCAGGCGCCUCGGACACCGAUAAAAUCUAGGACCUAACAUCUAAUGCGGUUCUUAACGUUCACGCAGUUAAAUGAGUAAUAUUAUAUGAAUGAUCUAAUGACAUAUUAUUAUUAUAUUGAUAUCACGUGCAUACGUAUGAAUACGCAGUAUUAAGGAGAUAUAUGCUAUCAAUUAAUCAAGCUGACAUAUAAGUGAAUGAUCUGCAGACAUGCUUUUUCUAUUUCCGCCCGGGUGUCACGAAACGCGCGAAUUUAUAAUAAAAUUUAUAAUAAUAAUUAAUAAAAUUUAUAA